rnacentral:rRNA from 1 species
CACGUAGGGGGCGAGCGUUGUCCGGAUUUAUUGGGCGUAAAGAGCUCGUAGGCGGGUUCGUUAGUCGGGUGUGAAAACUCUAGGCUCAACCUGGAGACGCCACCCGAUACUGCGAUGACUAGAGUCCGGUAGGGGAGUGUGGAAUUCCUGGUGUAGCGGUGAAAUGCGCAGAUAUCAGGAGGAACACCAACGGCGAAGGCAGCACUCUGGGCCGGAACUGACGCUGAGGAGCGAAAGCGUGGGUAGCGAACAGG